GUGGUGGCACGUGACAAAUGACGCUUUGUCCUCUUAAUAUAUUGCCUGUUCUGGGCACUGGUACCACACACUGGGCUCCACCACCCUCUCCCCACAGGGCCUGGCCCCACUGACUCCCCGGCCCGCUUGUGUCCCACCCAGGGUCUCUGCCCAGGGAGGGGAGCAUCACCCUGUGUGGGGCAAGUGAGGGUCUGCCCGGAUGGCGCUGUCACCAUCACCGAUGAUGCCAGACGGACCCAGCAGUUGGCGGGCGUCCCAGCCAGGAGGCAGCCCCCUUGGACAGACUGCCAGAGAGUUCAGGCUUGCCUCUGUUCACCCAAAAAUAGGCACACAGGCUGCGUCGGGUGCCGGGGGCACAGUCACAAGGAAUGUGGACACCACCCUGCCUUGCAGACCUCACGGUCCGGUUGGGGAAGAGGCGUAACUGAUCCAAGGAAGAGAUGUCUGAGCACAUACCGUGAUCAUCCGCUCCGGUGCCACACUGUUAGGAUGCCCGCUUCACGGCUGGGAAAACUGAGGUUUGGAGAUGGCAGGCCCCUUGUCCGAGGCCCUAGAGUCGGUCAGCGGCAGAGCCAAGAUUCGAACCCUCAUUUGCCACACUCCCAAGCCCUUACCAAGGUCUGAGCAGGCAGAAGAGGGGUGGGAGAGCCUUCCAGACAAUGGGAUCAAGACUGAGCGAAGCCACAGGGGCUGCUCUGUCCCUUAUUCAGAGCCUUCUGCAUCUGGUGCCCCAUCUACCCUUGAGGGGACUGCUGGAAACAGAAUUGCACCCGCUUUGCAGUGAAGGCCCUGCAGGUCUGUAAGGACUUGCUGAGGACCCCAGAGCUCUCGUCUCCUGAGUCCUGGCAAGACCAGGAGAGGUGGCUGUCUGCAGAACAGCACUGUCCCCGGCUGCGGAGGUAAUCUGUACACCCAGCAUGGGGCUCGAACUCACAACCCCGAGAUCAAGAGUCAUGUGCUCCAACGGACUGAGCCAGCUGGGUGCCCCACCAUUAGCUUUAACAUCCUUCAUUCCUUCCUCCUUCUAGCUAAGAUUUUAAAAAAAAAAUUUUUUUUUUUUUAACAUUUACUUAUUUUUGGGAGACAGAGAUAGAGCACAAGCAGGGGAGGAGCAGAGAGAGAGAGGGAGACAGAAUCCAAAGCAGCCUCCAGGCUCCGAGCUGUCGGCACAGAGCCCAAUGUGGGGCUCAAACUCACAGACUGUGAGAUCAUGACCUGAGCCGAAGUCGGAUGCUCAACCAACUGAGCCACCCAGGCACCCCUUCUAGCUAGGAUUUUUUAAGGUACCUUAACUACAGAACUGCCCCCUGAGUCCUCGAACCACCCUGCAAAGCACCCGGCACCAGCUGAAGAAAUCCCCCUUCUAAAACACCCCGCGUUUCCCAAUGGUGUGUGUGCUCUGUCGUUGCAAUAGGACAGCGUGACAUUGCUCAACUGCAGGGGUGUUCCUAGCGGUCUUCAGUGGGAGGACAUUGUAAACCAGAAACCCAAGAACAUCCCCCUGAAGAAAGCGUUUGCCCUGUCUCAAUGCAGCACUGCGGGGAACGGGAGGAGGGGGGGACGGGCCUGGUGCCUAGCACCCCAGGGAGUUAACUGAGAGAAGAAACAGCUAGAGGAAUGUGGCUUCUAGAAGGACAGCCCCUAGCCCUGGAUCACCUGCCUGCUGGCAGGAGGAGGGGGGACGGAGAUUGUGGCAGAGGUUGGGGCUGGGCUGGGGAUGGGAGCUGUCACACUAUUUCUCACUGGCUUUAAUCUUUGCGUGCUUUGAUGUGAAAUGUAAUUACAGAUUCUGAAUUACGGCGGGGGCUCAUCAGGGCUGACUCAUCAAUUAGAUUUAUACGCAUUCGGUUGUCGGAGAUCUGUGACCCUGAUGUUGUCACCUCAAAGCUCUGAGAAAUCUGUCCCGCCAGCUCGUCCUCUUAGGGAACUGUGGGGUCGAGAAAGCCACUUUUAGGGCCAGCUUGGAGGGACAGUCUGUCCAUGCUUGGGCAGCCCAGAGACAAUACCUGCCUCUGAAGUCCCCAUUCUUUAAAAUCUGAGGGCCUUGGCUUAGGAAUCCAGAAAUGUCAAAUACAUCUUUGUUCCACUACCUCCGUCGGAAGUCAUGCUAACGGAUUACUAACACCUGCCAAAUCUGGACCCAGCCCAGCCUCAGGCUCCUUUUUUGUUUUUUUAAAUUUUUAAUGUUUUAUUUUUGAGACAGAGACAGAGUAUGAGUGGGGAGGGGCAGAGAGAGAGAAAGAGGGAGACACAGAAUCCGAAGCAGGCUCCAGGCUGAGUUGUCAGCACAGAGCCCGAUGCGGGGCUCGAAUUCGUCAACUGCAAGAUCAUGACCUGAGCAGAAGUCAGACGCUCAAUCGACGGAGCCCCCCAGGCGCCCCUCAGGCUCCUUCUUAACACAGCCUUCCGGGCAGCCCCUCCCGACCAAAUGGCAUAUUGGCAUCUCUUUCUCACCCCUGGAAUAAGCCCUUCCACUGUCUCCACAAAAGGUAAUUGGGAAGGGAAGCUGGGUUUUGCUACCGAAGGCCCAGGUGGAGUGCUGGUUUGUGCCACUUGGCUGACUGUGGCACAUUGGAUUCAUCGCUGUACCCGACGGGGCGCCAGUUUGUCCAAAUGAAGUUAGGGUGAUAAUCCACGGUGAAAAUCCAUCUAAGAUGAUAAAUACGGAUGUUCUUUGUCUACUCUCAAACCCCACGCAAGUUAAAGAUGCAGCAGCCGACAGAGGAGAAAGAAGGAUGCCAGCGUCCUCGGCAUCCUGUGGAAAGCUGGUGUGAUCACCUUCCGGGGGCAAUCCUCAGUGGGGCCGUGAUCAUUUUUCUUCCCUCCUCUGUUGCCCUAGAACCGAAGCCAACCCUCCACAUUCAGGCUGCCCAGGAACUGCACUCCAGACAGCCAGCUGUCUCCAGCAGAACGACCAGGGGCAUGUUCUCCAGGCUACUAGAGUUCGGAGGGGCCCCGUGGCUCUGGCUACCGGAGGGAAGCCUACCCUGGCUCCAAGCAUCCCGAGAGAGGUAGAUGAUUUAUGACAGGCAUGGAAAGCAUUUGUCCGUUUCUUUUCUCUUUGGCAGUCAUGUUUAUUACACAAGUAAGCCUUUGUCAAAUCCAACCCAAACUCAUUGUUCAAAAAAAAAAAAAAAAGAAAGAAAAUCCAGACAAACAACAAUUUAAGUUAAAACCACCCAUAAUCCCAUGAUUUAGAGGUAUUUUGUUUUUAAUGUUUAUUUUUGAGAGAGAGAGAGAGAGACAGAGUGUGAGCAGGGGAGGAACAGACAGAGAGGGAGACACAGAAUCCGAAGCAGGCUCCAGGGUCUGAGCUGUCAGCACAGAGCCCGACGCAGGGCUCGAACUCACGAACCGUGAGAUCAUGACCUGAGCCGAAGUCAGACACUCAACCGACUGAGCCACCCAGGCGCCCCUUAGAGGUAAGUAUUACUAACACAUGGGACAGAUCCUUGCAUUUUUUCCUAUGGUGUAUACACACACAUGCAUUUCUUUUCCAGGAAUUAGGUCGUUCUAUACAUACUAUUUUACAACUUGUUUUGUUUUUCACUUAAAAGUUUUCUCUUUUACACAGUAAUAAAUAUAUAGACACAA